AGCGAACGCUGGCGGCAGGCUUAACACAUGCAAGUCGAGCGGGCGUAGCAAUACGUCAGCGGCAGACGGGUGAGUAACGCGUGGGAACGUACCUUUUGGUUCGGAACAACACAGGGAAACUUGUGCUAAUACCGGAUAAGCCCUUACGGGGAAAGAUUUAUCGCCGAAAGAUCGGCCCGCGUCUGAUUAGCUAGUUGGUAGGGUAAUGGCCUACCAAGGCGACGAUCAGUAGCUGGUCUGAGAGGAUGAUCAGCCACAUUGGGACUGAGACACGGCCCAAACUCCUACGGGAGGCAGCAGUGGGGAAUAUUGGACAAUGGGGGCAACCCUGAUCCAGCCAUGCCGCGUGAGUGAUGAAGGCCCUAGGGUUGUAAAGCUCUUUUGUGCGGGAAGAUAAUGACGGUACCGCAAGAAUAAGCCCCGGCUAACUUCGUGCCAGCAGCCGCCGUAA
rnacentral:rRNA from 1 species